UUACGGACGGUGACUGUUAUUAAUGGUGCUGGUGCAGCCCAUACCUUCCCUACGCAGUUCUGCCAGAGUGAUUUGUCACAGCCUGAAACCCGUGGCCACGUCCAAGGGUGUCGGCUGAUGAGCUGCAGGAAAUUAGAUGCUGUAUUUUUAUUGUCGAGAGCCGAGCCCUUGCAGAAAACAGGGAGAUGAAGACGGUCAGGACCGUGACACAUUUAUUCCGAUCUGUCGCCAUAGAAACAGAUAAUCCACCAACGGUCCCUUUCCACAGAGCCAGUUUACAAGACGGGGCGUCCUGGGGCUCCACUCCAUCCACUGAAGGCCACUUCCAGGCCCACUCCAGCAGCCUCCCUCCAACCACUCAAUGCUCUGGGGGUGGACUGAGAGCUGCCAUCCAGCUCCUUGCAGAGCUGUGAGCCCAGGAGCAGGACACGUCCACAGCACACACUUAAGACAGCAGAAGUAAAGAGGACCAGGGCUGACAGCUACAUCAGCACUUUUUUUUUUUUUUUGCACAUCCACUCGCUUACGAGAUAAGAUUUUGAUGCCUGGAUUUAACAAGACAAUAAAUUGUCUCCACGACACCCAGCGCUUUAAAAUAUCCCACCACUGCUGCCUUUCUGCUCCUUGAAGCAUCAGGAUGGUAGCUGACAUCUCUUACAGGCUGUGUCAUUUCCUUAACGGAGAUUUCCCGAGGGCUGAGCCAACCAAGUGUGUAUGUACAGCAAGAAAUACUUGUGAAAAUACGUAAAUGAUGUGAUGGCAGUAAGGUUUCACAUUAGGGAGAAACCAUUGGGUUUGCCUGGUCCUGCCCUACUGCAUGCCAUAAAGCCCGUGGAAGGGGAGCAAAGCAUUUCCAAGCAAUAGAUUUGGGAAGAUACAUUGAGGGGUUUCUGCCAUUUCCACGUAAUGAAAUACAGAGGGCUCCAAGAACGCCCAAGGAAGCGACGGUGGAACCUUCCCAGGGAGCUGCUGAGGGAUGCCAAGAGCCAGUUGUGCCCAGUUAUUCACUCAGCAGAGAUGCUGCUCCUCUCGGUGCCGCCUCGCCCCUGCACGCUCGUCCAUCUGCCGUGAGCGCUCUGCCUCAUGCUGUUGGUGUGGAAUAAGUCCAACGAUUCCAUUCUCAAGGCAGUGCCCAGAAAGCUGCUUAUGAAACCCGACCAACACUUUGGACAGAAAUAAAUGUAAGUAAGGAGGUCUCAGUGUGCCAGGACUGCUUGGGCUGGAGGAAAGAAAAACCCCAGACCUUGUUGUCCCUGUGCUAUGGGAUGCGCUUCUCUUGUUAGCCUCCCAUGGAAAGAAAGAGGGGAUCUGAGCAUCCCCAGCCCACAGCGGAGGAGGCACAGAUGUUUGUUUUGGGAAUAAUAACUCAAGUGUGUUUCUGCAGCACUCAGAGUGUGCUUGGGAGGGCUGUAAACAGGCAAACAGAACCGGUGCUGCAUUCAUGCUAAAUAGUGCUUAUAGCCAGGCAGAAAUUAGGCUGAUAAAAAUGAUGGGCUCUCUAUCUGCUUCUCUCGUUCCCCACUCUCCAUCUCUUUCCCAGUCUGAGUGCCCUUCAGGCAGCCCUGCUGGCUGGCUUGCAUUCAGGAGCAAUGUACCACUGCCAUCCAACAACCUUAAGGAUGCUAUGGAUGCAGCUGUGCUCCGGCCAUCCACCAAUCCUGCCCUGGUGGGGCUCCGUUGCUGCUGCAGGCAUAGUCAAGCCCUUAGAUCUGGUUCAAAAAGCAACUGAAUUCUUCUCCUUCUAUGCUCCAACACAUGACAAGGAUGAAUUUACGUCAAGCUUUUAUUAUACCAGGGGCACUUCUCUUUCUUUCUAGCCCUUCUUCCCCAACAAUUUUUUCCCCAAGUAUUUAAAAGCUACCAGCAAUUCCAGUUCCAUUUCUCCCCGUAAGCACCACAAAUUCACCCUCCUACAACCCCAGCUGAGGAAAUAAAUUCAAAUGUAUUCUGCGUCUGGCGGCACGGCCUGAUUGAUACAGCUCUGCGUUGCCGUGUCUUUUUGUUCUGCCACACUCAGUAAUUCAAUUAUGCUAAACAGGGCUUCAAUUCCCCGGGUUGUGGCAUGCCUACCACCAGGAGCAGGGCGGAUUCCCAGUAACUCUGUGCUCGGGAUGCUCGUGUGCAUCUUAGGUGUAUGCAGUAUUCCUUGGUGGUUUGAGCUAUGCUGCUCUGGGGGAUUUGGAACCACCACCAGGAGCCAAAGCUCUGCAUGGAAGCCAGAAAUCACUGUCUCUCACAGGGGCCUGACAGCCACGAUGGAGGAUUCAUUCUUGGGUCUAAGGGCUGAGAUAACUAUAGAAAUACCGACUGUGCACAAACAGGGAGUUCAGAGAACCUGCAACAGCAGCUCCAACUGAACUAGGUUUCAUUUGUGCUGGUUUUAAUAACAGCCAAGAAAUUGUGA